AGGCAAUGGGCAAUUUCUGCGCUGUCUUUGGAGCAACAUUCUCAAGGCCAGGCCACUGGACAGAACUGGAAGGUGGAUCAUUCGGGGACUUCUUAUGGGAGAACCUUUGUGAGGCAGUCAGUCGAUCAACAGAUGCUUUCCGAGCGCCUCUAGGGUGCGGUGGAACGCGGCAAUCUGGAAGGACGCUUCAGAACCGGUUGAUAAUGGAUCCAAUAAAUGAGAUUCCGCAGUGUCCUGCCAAGUGCACUCUGUCUUACGUGCCCUGGCAUCUGGGAACCUUUCAGAACCAGCCCUCUGUGCUUUAGGCCGGUUCUGCCUCUGAGCCAUGUGGACCCUCUCGCCUCAAGGAGUGACUCCUCCAUCCACCCUGCAGUCCAAAGGAAGACGAGAAGUGCAGAAAGCAACAGCCCAGCCUUGUCUCAGCAUUUUGAACCUUAGGACUUUUCCCUUGGCUUAGCCAGGGGGGCCCUGACCUGAUCAGCAGGUGACCUUGAACUGGAGACCUCUUUGAAGCCUAUUUUCUGUAGAGGGAAAGAGAAAGAGAGGGCAAGGGAGACUUGUAUGAAUUGAUCAAACAUGAAUUGAAAAAUAACUUCAGAGGACCUGAAGCCCAGGACUCAAGGAGGUGGGACAAGGGAAC
rnacentral:lncRNA from 1 species